ACGAGGAAACAAUAUUUUUUGGUGGCCGUAUGAAAUGAAGACAACAGGAGGGUUAAACACCCUAUCUUAAAUCUGCUUCUGCUAACAUCCUCCACUCUCCGGUGCAGGUUUUGCACAUCAGAUUUGGACAUUGGGCUCAGAUUUAAGUCAAAAAGUGUCGGAUGGAGCCGAGGUCAAGAUUCUGUGCAGUGCUCUUUGCUUGUCUAUGCACUCGGAGACGAAGAACAGCAGAAACGCAGCAUAAUGUGAUCCAGUGCAACAGCCCUGCAGUCAGAGUGCUUUCCCUGGGGAAGGAGCUGUAAUGAGAAGCACAGAGAGCAGUGCUGGAAGCAAAGACUGCUCCUACUGCUCUUCUGAUCCUUUAUUCUCCCGCCUGGAAAACUGCCUCGUUGCCUCAUCGUGAGCGCCCACAUCACAGCAGUCACAGGCAUCCAUCACAAAGCUGCAGGUUACCGUGGCGACUGUCGGAGGAGCCUCAGCUCACCGGGAAGGUCCAGGAUUACAUGUGAGAGAAUGCGAGGAGGUAUUGUGGAUGUAUGUGUGAGUAUAAAACACACAGCAAACACUGGUGUCUGCGGGGAGCGUUCACACUGGCAAGCGAGUUUUAAGACCUGAGGGCAAAUCAGUGGAAAGCACUUGUGACGCUGUGAGACGGGAAGAUUUCUGCAGGGCCUCGCUGUUUCCUCACUGCAGCUGUCUCUUGAUUUAAUUGUUUUAUAUAUAGAAGUGUAUUAUGUUGGCUUUAGGAGAGUGCUGUUCAACUCAGUGCAAAGAUACAGAAUGAAACAUGAGCAGUCGCAGUCAGUUCAGGAGUUUAUCCUGAUUGUCUGAGCUGGUGCAGAAGUUUGUAUGUGGAUGUUCAUAAUGGAGAGUCUGGUUAAAAAAUAAACUUGAUAAUGUUCUACAAAGGAAGAUUAGUGGGUUACUGAGGUAUGUUGAGCAUAAAUCCAGAGUUUUAAUGAAGGUGGCACUAUUAACCCGCUACAUCACCAUGGUAACCGGUUCCAGAGGAGGUUCUAUUCAGAGUUUAGGAUUUAAAUCAGCUGUACGAAACAUCUCCUUUUAACCAGUUCUUAUCCUGACCAUGUUCUCUAUUAAGAUACAGAUUCUCAGGUGGGGGAAUGUUUUACAUCUGCAGGCCUUCUGAGCUGUACUUUAGUAACUGUAUGCAUCACAUUGUCACAGGAACCUUCAUGCAUUUAGUUGUUGAUGUAGAAAAUGCACUAGUCUUGAUUUGCUGCCAACUCCAUCUUAAAGUGCUGGUAUUGCAGCUAAAUAAACAUAGAUUAGAAAUUUGAUUUGUAUAUUUAUAUUUUUCACAGAGAGUAAUUAAUUUCACUAAAAUUCAACCAAAAAUAAAAGUCAUUUCCACAUGUCCUUCAUUAUGGAGCAGUGUUGGAACUAAAUGGACUUCUUUAGUAUCAUAAAUGUAUGAAAUUUAAAGUUUAAGAUCACUAAUGCGCAGAUAUCACGUUAGAAAUAAGAGACUGCAGUCUCUAGAGAAGGUGAGGGCAACAUUUUCCUUUACGUCUGGUGUAAGAUUUCUUAAAAAUGCCUUUGUUUUUACAGGAACAUUCUUGUUUUCUCUGUUUUUAAAGCAUCUGCCACAAAACCAACACCCUACCCCACAGCAUACAUGAGUUAGUUAUAUGUUUCUCAAUACUCUGGAAGCAUUUAUUGAAGUUAUGGGCUUUGGGAUCGGGGCUGAGCUGGUGGUAGUUGGGUCUAAACUUGAGGAUAACUUUGACUUCUGUCUGGAAACAGGCCUGUUGUGUCCAUGUUCUGUCUCGGCGUCUUCAGCAGUUGAGGCUUUGUUACUGUUGUCAAUUUCAACCUCCCCAAAUAUUUAUGAAUAUCAAAGUAAGGAUAUUUGGACAACUGCUAAACACUACUAGACUGAAGCUGUCCAGUCACAGUUGGAGUUACCCAGGUCCAACACAAAUGAGAAGAUUGAUGUUUUACUGAGUGCAUUUCAUGAUUUUUUGGAACUAUCAUGCAAUGCACUCUGCAAGUCUUCUUAUUCGUCAUCACGACUGAAUAGACAAACAUUCAUUAUUCAAGUUCCAACUGAAAGUACAAAGUAUUAAAGUGAGAGAAGUGCUUUGAACCCCCAUAGAGCUGAUCCUGAUAAAUUAAAACUCUCUUAUCCCCACCUGCCUCAUCGUUUUUGGCUUCUGUCUAAACCCUCCAUCACUUCUGCCUCCUUCUCCAACUUUUUUCACCACAUCAACGGCUAAAUUUUCCAACUUUCCUCCCUUCCCUGUUUGAUGUAGAGGACCGUCUGUGUGCAGUCCAAUCCCUCGGCCAUUGAUUGUAAACGUCCCGCUCGCUCACAGUGCACAGUCAGCGUUUUUGGAGAUGAUCCGCCGUUCCCCCGAGUCAUAGAUCACAAACACCGAGCCCCACCGGCUCCACAGCUCAAGGUGGAUCAUUUAAACUCCGACAGCAUGGAGCAGCUUUAGAGGGAUAUUUUUCUGUGUGUGUUCCCAUAUCUGUAGGUAUUUGACUAAUAAAUAAGAUAAAGCUAUGAAUUAUUACUCUUUGUCACACCACUUCUCUCUUUCCAUAAAACAGUCCUUCUGUUUUUUGUAUUACUUUACCUUUUAUCUUUUUUUAAAGAGAAAGUUGGGGCUACAUUUAUCACCUGCAGCUGUGAUUUAUUAACGCAAUGCAUCUAUGGUUUUUUUAUGUUUAGGACCAAAUAUGCUGACCAAAUCACUUUCUUUCACAUCUCUGCAGAGCAAGGUUGUUGUUUUUUGGCACCAAUGAGCUUUCAAAUAUCCAUUAAUCUUUGUAAUGAGGGUUUAU